rnacentral:lncRNA from 1 species
CGGGCGAAGAUUUGAAUCUUCUCUAAAUCGUCUCUUGAAGCUCGUCGCUGUGUCAUACAUCGCCACCGGUAUCUCUCGCUCUCUCUCAUAUCUUAAUUAAGUAGUAAUAUAACACAAUAUUGACCAGAGAGUCUCAUUUGUAGCUCAAGAUAGAGACCUGCAUUCUAGUGGAAACUUUUUUUUGCAGUGAUGGCUACAUGAAUAUACAUAUGAUACAUAUGACAUAUAUAUGUUAUGAGGAAUGUACAUGAGAUAGUAGCAAUUUGUAAUUGAAAAAUGGAGCUAAACUAAUAAGGAUAGUGGUGUUUAGUUAAGUCAGAGAAUUAUUCAAACAUGUGGUGUGCUUUGUUGAGUGGGAAGAGAAAUAUGCACAUAAGAUUUUGGAACACUUUUGCUUGUUUGUUUUCGUUUAUAUUGCUGCCUUUAUUUCUCAAUUUUGUAAUAUAUUAAUUAAUGUAGUUUUUCUUCGCAGGUCAAGACAGAGACUGCAUUCUACUGCUUAUUAUCAUACAAACAUGCACCGGUUAUGGAGAAUGAGUUCCGCUACACACUGUUCUACAAAACAACAAUUACUACGCUGAGUUUCUUCGAGAAAACACGCUGAAUUGAUAUGUUGAGUUUCUUCAAUUGCAGGCACCAAAGAGUGCGACGAUUCUUUUCUAUGAUUUGGGGGAAUUCAGUAUUAGAAUUCUUCAAUUUGGGAUUGAUUGGAUCGACUGAAAUGAUUUGGGAUUUUUCUUCAAUUUGUUCUUUCUUCUUCAAUUGCAAGAACGACUGGAAUGAGUUUAGUAUUAGGGUAAAUGGUAGAAUAAAGGUAUUUGUUUUUUGUUUUUUUUAAGUUUAAUAAUAUUGAAAAUUCCAAGUGGAUCAAUAAAUCCACCUAAUAAAUUUCCGGCGUUCCACGCCAUUUUUCGGGCGCCGAAAAAUUUUAACGGGACACGAUUAAAAAAAUAUUGAUAUGUUGGGUACCAAUUAGAUAUUAUCGAAAAGUUGGGACAUAAUCGAUAAUUC